UCCAGUUGUAGGCAACUGCCUAGGUUUCAUUGUACCUGGGCAAGUAUUACACUGCUGGGAGAAAAGCAGCUAAUAGCUGGUGUGUAUACUGGGCCUGGUAAAUGCCAAAUUUGUAUUAACUAU
ensembl:snoRNA SNORA74 Small nucleolar RNA SNORA74